rnacentral:rRNA from 1 species
CUUGCUGGGUUGAUCAGUGGCGAACGGGUGAGUAACACGUGAGUAACCUGCCCCAGACUCCGGGAUAAGCCUUGGAAACGAGGUCUAAUACUGGAUACGAGAUGCCCCUGCAUGGGGAGUGUCUGGAAAGAUUUAUCGGUCUGGGAUGGACUCGCGGCCUAUCAGCUUGUUGGUGGGGUAAUGGCCUACCAAGGCGACGACGGGUAGCCGGCCUGAGAGGGCGACCGGCCACACUGGGACUGAGACACGGCCCAGACUCCUACGGGAGGCAGCAGUGGGGAAUAUUGCACAAUGGGCGCAAGCCUGAUGCAGCGACGCCGCGUGAGGGAUGAAGGCCUUCGGGUUGUAAACCUCUUUCAGCAGGGAAGAAGCGCAAGUGACGGUACCUGCAGAAGAAGCGCCGGCUAACUACGUGCCAGCAGCCGCGGUAAUACGUAGGGCGCAAGCGUUGUCCGGAAUUAUUGGGCGUAAAGAGCUCGUAGGCGGUUUGUCGCGUCUGGUGUGAAAACUCAAGGCUCAACCUUGAGCUUGCAUCGGGUACGGGCAGACUAGAGUGCGGUAGGGGUGACUGGAAUUCCUGGUGUAGCGGUGGAAUGCGCAGAUAUCAGGAGGAACACCGAUGGCGAAGGCAGGUCACUGGGCCGCAACUGACGCUGAGGAGCGAAAGCAUGGGGAGCGAACAGGAUUAGAUACCCUGGUAGUCCAUGCCGUAAACGUUGGGCACUAGGUGUGGGGCUCAUUCCACGAGUUCCGUGCCGCAGCAAACGCAUUAAGUGCCCCGCCUGGGGAGUACGGCCGCAAGGCUAAAACUCAAAGGAAUUGACGGGGGCCCGCACAAGCGGCGGAGCAUGCGGAUUAAUUCGAUGCAACGCGAAGAACCUUACCAAGGCUUGACAUACACCGGAAACUUCCAGAGAUGGUUGCCCCGCAAGGUCGGUGUACAGGUGGUGCAUGGUUGUCGUCAGCUCGUGUCGUGAGAUGUUGGGUUAAGUCCCGCAACGAGCGCAACCCUCGUCUUAUGUUGCCAGCACGUCAUGGUGGGGACUCAUAAGAGACUGCCGGGGUCAACUCGGAGGAAGGUGGGGAUGACGUCAAAUCAUCAUGCCCCUUAUGUCUUGGGCUUCACGCAUGCUACAAUGGCCGGUACAAAGGGCUGCGAUACCGCGAGGUGGAGCGAAUCCCAAAAAGCCGGUCUCAGUUCGGAUUGGGGUCUGCAACUCGACCCCAUGAAGUCGGAGUCGCUAGUAAUCGCAGAUCAGCAACGCUGCGGUGAAUACGUUCCCGGGCCUUGUACACACCGCCCGUCAAGUCACGAAAGUCGGUAACACCCGAAGCC